UACCUUACCUCCUUAUCCUCUUGUUGUUGGUGCCUGUGGUUGCUGCUGACCUGCUACUUUCCCCUUUCCCCUGCUGUAGUCCAAAGGAGAGGAGGAGAUGGAGAGAGAGACAAGGUGCAGCAAGGAAGAAGGGAAGAAGAAGGGAAGAUGUGGGAAUCACUGGGUUCUCAUUGUCUUGCUCGUGGUUGCCCUAGGAAAACCUAAUGCUGGAGGACGUAGCUGUCGAGGGAGUUGAGCAGGAGAACCGCCUCUGCUGUCGACGAUGGCGCGGCCCGGGCCGAGGCAACCUUUGUUGAUGGCUUGCUGGCCAAUGACAUCUUACUCUGACGAAACUUCAUAAUUGCAUCUUUACUAUUUUGACCAUUCAAUAUAUCAUAUACACUUCAUAACUGCAUCCUUACUAUGUUACUGGCCUCAUGCAAAAAAAAGAAAGUAACAGAAUGAGAUUGAGACAAUAAUAACCCAUCUUGGAAAUAGGUCUUGACCAUUCUAUAUAUAUCAAUUAGCACUGGAAAACGAAAAGAUGUUUUUUAAACUACACAAGGCAACUCUACAAGUAUCUAGUACCCAAUCAUUUAGUGAGGAUAUAUCCAGCGAAGACAAGAUACACCAUACAGCAACCACUCUUUACAUUACAUUUACAAAUGCUUUUUCUUUAUCUCUAUAUAAGGGCUGUUUUUAGAGAAUGAUAGUAACAUGGUAAUCUACAUAGAAGAACAGAGGAAUACAAUUAAUGAAAGAACGACAGCGUGCAGAGCAUAAUAAUUUAGCAAAUUUGUGCUUUCCCCAUUUGUUUUCAUGCUCAGCAUUAGAAUAAUCACAUAAUACUUUAAUAGAAAUGUAACAAAGUCUGAGUUUACUGUAAACAAAAUAGAGCUGUAGAAUAAUCCAGAGUACAAAAUAUGAAAGGCUUGGUAAGAUUCAGUCUGGAUGCUACUAUGGUGAACUCAGUCCAAUGAAGUGAAUAUUCUUUUGCACUCAACAUAAUUGUUUAUUAUGGAGUUGUGAUGGGUAAGAACAUGUGGCAAUAAUAAUUGUCCAUGAUGCAAAAUUAAUUGACAAGAUGGGGUUGGAUCGUCCCUGUGCACACUUGAAGGUGCAACUCACCAAAAUCACAAUGAAUUCUUUUCUUUUCAGGAAAAAAAAUAAAACAAGAGCGGGGAGUGAUUCUUUUUCACCCGCGUUGGUGCUGGAUGGAGUGGAGUCGCAAAUGCAGUCGAGGAAUGCAAAUCACCGUGCCACCACGGAGGGCACCGUCCUUGGCGAGGUAGUUCAAGGAGGCGGCGAGCAUGCCCGGCUGCGAGUGUACACCGUCGGAGAGGGGUCCCGGUUCCAAUCUAGUGCUGCUCCCUGCCGCCACCACAGCAACGUCUAGGGACGACCAAAUCUAGCGGUGCUUCAGUCGCCCCCAAGCUAAGAAGGGCUGCAUGGGUAGCAGAGAUGUCGAUGCAAUGGAGGUUAAGGGGAAGGGAGGAUGGAGCGGGAGGACAAUGAGGCCAUGGAGAGGAUUGGUAUCCUUGGAUGCGCACGGUGAUGCCACCGGUAGGGUUGGUCCUGAGAUUUUAGUGACCCGGGAUGAAACUAAAAAUGGGACCCUAUUGAAUAUAAAUAUUAAAAUAUUUAUAUAUCAAUUACAAAUACAAUAUUCUAGGUAGAGUACGCGAGUAUUUACGAUGAGCUGGAACAACAUGAAAUGCGUUCGUUACGGUAAGCUGGAACAAAAUUAUUGUAAAUGCUUGCGGGAAUAAAAUUGUGAGGGAUAGGAGUACAUGUACGUAUGUUUGCGUUUUAAUACAUGCUAGAUAGUUAGAAAUACUCACAUGUCUAUGUACAACUUGCUAUGUACAACUCUAGUUACUCACUGAUAUAUGCAGCAGGUAGCUUGCAGCCAUAGUAGCUUUAAAGCUAUCUGCUCGUAGGUGCCAGCACCACAACACGGGUUCAACUGCUUACUGCUAAACGGCUGGGUUCAAUUGCUGGUGGUCAACUGGCUGCGUGCUUUUGUGAUUGGUGUCACGCACGGUCCGGUUUUGUGACGGCGAUGAUUGGGCGCACGCCGGGGGGAGGCAUGCAACAGAGCUGGAUCCAUCAAUCGUCGGAACGAGCAGGGAUCAUUCCAAAUUUCAAAUGUGCGAUCUCAGCAUGGGUUGGAUACAUUUGAGGUGGAGUAGAAACUAUAGAGGAGAAAAACUAGCGACGAAAACUUAUAUAGCAAUGGUUGACGCCUGUCCUCGAUCGAAGCUGCGAGCAUGCGGAAUGCCUUGGAGUCGUGGUCCUACGUAACGUAGCAAACUGGGCUAUCUAGACGGAAGAAAAAUAUGAAAUAGGCAAACAACCAAAUAUGUUAGUUAGGUAGGUCACUUGAUUUUUUAUGGACCGGAGGAACCAGGCCAUGUGCGUCCUACCAUGCGGACUGCUAGAGCUAGCUGCUACUUUAGACCUAGUUCUAUCUGUUAUCAUACAGACUGUUAGGCAUGCACACUAUACAUAGGUACAUGAGGAGGGGCCCCUCAGUUUUGGGGGCCCGGGGUGGCCGCCUCUGCCGAACCCCCUCAGGGUCAGCCCUGGCCACUAGCGGCAGCGACAGAGGAUGUGGGGGUGUGAAGUCGGUGGGGAGGGGUUGUGAUUAUGGUGGUGGGGGUACUAGCCCUGGCUCGAGGAUGAUGGUGCCAAAGGUGCAGGAGCCAUUGGGUGAUGGGAGCAAGGAGGGAAGGUGGACGCGCCAGACAGGAUGGGGUCAAGGGCACAGGUGGCACAUAGCAUAGGAGAAGAGAGGGGGAGGACGCAAAGUGAAGGUAGAGCUAGGUCGGUGAGGAAGAGGACUGUGGUAGGCUUGGACCUCAAUGCACAUCGCCCAUGAGCUCAGCAGCUACCUCGUUGACCGCAAUCUCACAAACAACAUGAUGAGAGACCUGAUGGAGCACAUGGAGCCUCGACGAGGAGGUGGGAUUGGGUGUAGCGGGAUUUGGGGUGGCAGGAGUUUGAUGAGAUUGAAGGCGGUCGGUGUUGGGGUGCUGGGUGGAGGUAAGCAGGAGACCGAUUGGAGGUCGAUGAAGGCUGUGGGGGCUGGCGCCAUGUGUGUGAGAGGGGUAGGGUUUGGAUGCAGGGAUGGAGCACUGGCUGGGUGCCAAUCGUGGGGGCUCAUGUGUAGGCCCGCUGAUGGGGUGGGAGUGGAACAGGAGAGGGAGUGGGGCGCGCAUGAUGGAUGAAGGACGGGGGGGGGGGGGGGGCAGACGAACGAAUUCAUUAUAGACUUUUUAAGUAGUAGAGAUAUAUAAAAUAUUUGCAAAAUUACAUGCUCGUUUUAAAUAUUUGCAAAACUAGGCUACCAUCGCAUGUUCAAUGGGCGAGAGUAAGGUGUCGCCCCCGAAUUUAAUAAGGCCGUUGAACGGGUGAGACCUUCCUCGCAGCAUGCCCCCACAAGCCCACCAAAAAGGUAUCACUUAUUGAAUGGGCGAGACCUUUUGUCGGUAUAAAUAGCAUUGUGCGUGCCUUGCCAACAUCAGCACGCCAUUUGCUCCUGCACCCAGCCAAGAGAGCAAGAGAGAGUGCUGAGAGAAGGAGGAGAGGAGGGGAGGGGAGGGGAGGGGAGGGGAGGGAGGAAGAAUGAGAGGCGAAGCCCUACCGGAGAAAAAGGGUAUUUUUUUACUCUAUUUUUUACAAACCUGGUAGGAUAACCACUAGUACUAAGUUUUGGCACAGGUUCGAGGUUAGAUCUAGAGUUUAGAUGUAGGUUAGAAUGUAGGUCUAGGUUUAUAACUAAGGUUAGACAUAGUUUAGCAAUUAGAUCUAGUCUGUAGGCAUAGGUUACAUAUUAGAUGUAGGAUUUAGACAUAGUUUAGAUAGAACUUCAGUAAUAUAUGUAGGAUUUAGAGGUAUUAGAUGUAGCGACCUGAAGACUUUUUUUUGCAAUGUAGAGUAACUGUUGGACCAUGUUUUUAAUCAAUGUUGCAAUAUUGUAGAUGUCGGUUUUUGCAUAUUUUUAGGUUAUGUUGGAAUAACGGUAGGAUUUUAUGUCAAUGGUUGGCAUGUAUGUUAGAUAAGUUGCAGUUUAGGAUUUUUUAUGAAGACAGUGAAAUAUUUUAUGGUCUGAAAGGGGUAAUAAUAUCAGUCUUUGAGUCAAUGGACAAGGGUAUUUCCAGACCUAUGCAGAAGAGUGUCAGGUAUUUGUAUGACUUGUUGAUGUAGGGUUUCAAAAUAGAUCCUGAGGUUCAAGAGAUGACCAUUAGCAUUGUGGGUAACUGUAGGAGAGUUGGUGUGUACUGAAAGGUGUUCCCGCUUAGGGAAAAUUAAGUAUGGAGAAGGUACCUGCAAGAUGUAGUAGAAAGAGGUUGGCCACCUAUGUUGCUUGUGUAAUGGAAGAAUGAGGGAGUUGGGGAGAUGCAGGGUGGGGAUCCACGGAGGAUGAGGAGGGUGAUGAGGAAGAGUGUGAUGAGGAGGAGGGUAAUGAGGAUGGAAAAUCGGAUACUGGACAAUCAUUGGCUAAUCCAAUUGAACGCGCUGGUGAGAUAGACGAGGGGGAACGAAUCCCUUCUCUAAUUGAACAGAGGAAAGGGAUGAUCUUGAGACCGACGAAGCUCCUGAGUAUGACAUGUUGGAUGAUGAGGACGAUGAUCCUAUUCCCAUGGAUUGGAACAAUCUAAACUUUAACAACCUUGUGAUGAAUAAGGGGAAUCACAUGCCCUGGAAGUAUACGCAGAAUGAGGUUACUGAGGGUAUUGAAGGAUGUUGUGGUACCCUACAAGUCAGGCCAUGAAGGAUGCAGUGAUUCAAUGGGCAACAUCACUUCGACAACAGUUUUAUGUUGUGAAGUCAAGCAAGAUGGAAUACGAUGUGAAGUGCAUGAAGGAGGGUUGCCCGUGGUGAGUAGUAGGUUGAGUAUUGGGAAGUGUCGAUUGUGGUGGUCCACACUUGCAUGCUGGACGAACUUGACCCCAGACACAGAAACAUCACAUUAACAUUUAUUGCCAAUGUGAUGUACGCCCAGAUUGUGAACAACCUAAACUAUGAACCACAGUCUAUAAUCAGGAUAAUGGAGGAGGAGUACAAGUACACUAUCAACUACAACAAGGAAUGGAGGACGAAGAGGAAGGCAGUUGAGAUGAGGUUCGGGACCUACAAAGCGUCAUAUGACAAUCUUUCACGCUUAAUGAAGACCAAUACUCAAAGGAAUCCGUGGAUGUAUUAUGACUUCGAUAAUUACCCAUUAUUGUUCAAACUUAGCAAGUAUGUACUGAAGCGAAGCUUUUUCGCCUUAGGACCAUGUAUCAAAGUUUUCUAGCAUUGUUGUUUAUCCUCUACAUCGACAACACUUUUCUUACCGACAUAUAAAGUGUCAAAUUCUGACUGCUAUUGGGGUUGAUAGGAACAACCAAGUGUUACCAUUGGCCUUUGCAUUUGUGGAGAGUGAGAACACCAGCAGUUGGUAUUGGUUCCUCUACCGUGUCAAGAUGAUAGUUGUGGGUGCUUGGCCGGAUGUAUGCCUUAUACAUGACUGGCAUGCAAUGAUGCUGAAGGCUAUUCAAGAUCUAUAGAAUGGUACAGAGGAUGGUAUGAUGGAUCAUGUGGUAGAUCUGUAGAGUAGGUGGUACAUGAAGCAUUUGGGUGCAAAUUUCUUCCGGCAAUUCAAUAGCAAGAACCUCAUGAACAUGUUCAGGAGGUUGUGCAGUCAGAACCAGCAGCGGAAGUUUGAUACGCUGUGGAAGACAUUGGAUGAGUUGACGAAGAAGCAAAACACAUUAGCUUGCACGUAGGCCGAUGAGGGGACCGAAGUACGAACCAGUAGCUCUUGAGUUCCUGCCAACGGACAAUGAAGAUGGCAUAACGUGGAGGACCAGGUCAUCUACUAGGUCAUUUAGUGAGUAGAUUGAGAAUUUACUGAAGGAGAAGUGGGCUCUGCUCUAUGACACAAACGGGGCUAGGUAUGGCAUUAUGACUACAAAUUUAGUGGAGGUGUACAACUGGGUGAUGAAAGGUGUGAGAUGCUUGCUGUUAGUCGGGAUUGUAGAGUUCAUAUUUCAAGGAACCUGCAAGUAUUUGAAGGACCGUUUUGCAUUAGCUUAGCUGGUGCUAAAUGAUGCUCGUCUGAUUUAUGAGAUGAAUAUGACUAAGUACAUGGAAGGCAAAAUGGAGAAGACAAAAAUGCAUCGGAUGAAUACCAUAGGAACUACAUAGCACAUAUACGAAGUUCUUUGUAGAGACAAAGGAAGGAGGGGGGCAAGCAUAAGAGAGUUAUCCAAGAGUACACCUUCUUUUGACGAUAGGUGUAUUUACAGCUGCUACAAUCUGAUGCUACUGCACAAGCCAUGCUCACAUGUGAUUACCACGUGUGCUAUGACGGGCAUGAGAACUCGAAGGUACGUCUCAUACGACGUCAAGAAUGAAGUUGUCUUUAACACCUGGAACCAUGAGGUAUAUGAUUUCAGGAUUUAUGGUUCUUUCACAAAGGAUCCUGGGCCAGAAUGUAUGUUCAUCCCUGAUCCCGAGAAGAUGAAGCAGAAAAAGGGACGGCAUAGGACGACGAGCAUCCAUAAUGACAUGGACGAAGCAGAAGUCAGCCGUUGUAUGAAAGGUGCAACAAGUGCAAUGAAAUAGGGUACACUUACAAGAAAUGCACCGUUGGUGUGCCAAGUGCCAACCUCGCUGAAGCAGGUCCUUCCGGCUCUGCUGCAGAUGGUAUGGCGCACCUGGAGCUGCUUAAUCCUCAGCUUGACAUGAGGCACCGUUUGUACCUCACCACUGUUCAGGCUGAGGACCUCCUGGUACUACGACCCCGUGUGUCGGAUGAGCUCCUGAGGGUUGACAUUCGCUAGAUCCCAAGUUGCGUGCUGCUGGGCUUCUUCCACUGUGCCGUAUGGUAGAGGUGGACGCAUUGCUGGGGGUGCCGAGUUGGCCAUGCGCUUCAGCUAUGACAGGGCUCUACUCACGGCCCUUGUGGACAAGUGGCGUCCUGAGACGCACACGUUCCACCUCCCGUGCGGCAAGAUGGCAUCAAUGUUCAAGACAUCUCCCUACUGCUAGGCCUACCUUUUGCGGGUGCUGUUAUUGGCACGAGGGGCAUGGACAUGGCGUGGUGCGACGAGUUGCUUGCGCACUUGUCUGUUGUUCACCGGAGAGAUGGCCUAGCCCCCUUCAAGCCUUUUCCCUUGGUCAGAUAAACAUGGCCCAGUGAAGGCUUUUCUCAUUCAGUUUGUGGUGAACAACACCACCCACUGGCAGGCGACGAUGACGUCUCCCACCACUUUUAGGUGUACCUGUUGUGGUUGUUUGGAUGGAUCAUGUUCACCGAGACCCCAUGGUAACAUGGUCUAGCAAAGCAUGAUCCCCUAUGAUAGAGAGGUUGCAGACGCCGAACCGAGAGAGGUCCCCAAGUGCAGUUAGGCUUCAGCUGUAUUGGCUACGACGUACCGCUCUAUGUACUUAUCGGUUAUGACUUUGUAGUACCUUAAUGAUCUAUAUCCAUGCUACUAUGUUAUUGUCAGUGUCAUAAUAUCUUGUAUCUGACGUGUGUUUGUAUUGC